rnacentral:rRNA from 1 species
GAUGAACGCUGGCGGCGUGCCUAAUACAUGCAAGUCGAGCGAACAGACGAGGAGCUUGCUCCUCUGACGUUAGCCGCGGACGGAUGAGUAACACGUGGAUAACCUACCUAUAAGACUGGGAUAACUUCGUGAAACCGGAGCUAAUACCGGAUAAUAUAUUCAACCGCAUGGUUCAAUAGUGAAAGCCGGUUUUGCUGGACCUUCUAGCUGGAUCCGCGCCGCAUUAGCGAGUUGGUAAGGUAACGGCUUACCAAAGCGGUGAUGCGUAGCCGACCCGAGAGGGGGAAGGGCCCCUCUGGAACUGAGAGACGGCACUGACUCCGACGGGAGGCCGCAGUAGGGAAGCGUCCGCAAUGGGCGAAAGACUGACGGAGCAGCGCCGGGCGAGUGAUGAAGGGCUGCGGAUCGUAAGACUCUGUUAGUAUUGAAGAACAAAUGCGUAAGUAACUAUGCACGUCGUGACGGUACCUAAAGAGAAAGCCCCGGCUAACUACGUG